rnacentral:rRNA from 1 species
GAUGAACGCUGGCGGCGUGCUUAAUACAUGCAAGUCGAGCGAACGGACGAGAAGCUUGCUUCUCUCAUGUUAGCGGCGGACGGGUGAGUAACACGUGUAUAACCUACCUAUAAUACUGGUAUAACUUCGGGAAACCGGAUCUAAUCCCGGAUAAUAUUUUGAACCGCAUGGUUCAAAAGUGAAAGACGGUCUUGCUGGCACUUAUAGAUGCAUCCGCGCUGCAUUAGCUAGUUGGUAAGGUAACGGCUUACCACGGCAACGAUGCAUAGCCGACAUGAGAGGGUGAUCGGCGGCACUAGAACUGAGACACGGUCAAGAAUCCUACGGGAGGCAGCAGAAGGGAAUAUGAGGCAAUGGGCGAGAACAUGACGGAACAGCGGCGCGUGUGUGAUGAAGAUGUCGGGAGCGUAAAACUCGGUUAUUGGUGAAGAACAUCUGUGUAAGUAACUGUGCAGAGAUUGACGGUACCGAAUAAAGAAGCAACGGCUAACUACGUG